UACGUAGGGGGCAAGCGUUGUCCGGAUUUAUUGGGCGUAAAGAGCGUGUAGGCGGCCAAGCAGGUCAGCUGUGAAAACUCGAGGCUCAACCUCGAGCUGUCGGUGGAAACCGUGGGGCUAGAGUCCGGAAGAGGAGAGUGGAAUCCCGGUGUAGCGGUGAAAUGCGCAGAUAUCGGGAAGAACACCCGUGGCGAAGGCGGCUCUCUGGGACGGUACUGGACGCUGAGA
rnacentral:rRNA from 1 species